AUGAACGCUGGCGGCGUGCCUAAUACAUGCAAGUCGCGCGAACAGAUAAGGAGCUUGCUCCUUUGACGUUAGCGGCGGACGGGUGAGUAACACGUGGGUAACCUACCUAUAAGACUGGGAUAACUUCGGGAAACCGGAGCUAAUACCGGAUAACAUUUGGAACCGCAUGGUUCUAAAGUGAAAGAUGGUUUUGCUAUCACUUAUAGAUGGACCCGCGCCGUAUUAGCUAGUUGGUAAGGUAACGGCUUACCAAGGCAACGAUACGUAGCCGACCUGAGAGGGUGAUCGGCCACACUGGAACUGAGACACGGUCCAGACUCCUACGGGAGGCAGCAGUAGGGAAUCUUCCGCAAUGGGCGAAAGCCUGACGGAGCAACGCCGCGUGAGUGAUGAAGGGUUUCGGCUCGUAAAACUCUGUUAUUAGGGAAGAACAAAUGUGUAAGUAACUGUGCACGUCUUGACGGUACCUAAUCAGAAAGCCACGGCUAACUACGUGC
rnacentral:rRNA from 1 species